rnacentral:rRNA from 1 species
UACGGAGGGAGCUAGCGUUGUUCGGAAUUACUGGGCGUAAAGCGCACGUAGGCGGCUUUGUAAGUUAGAGGUGAAAGCCCGGGGCUCAACUCCGGAACUGCCUUUAAGACUGCAUCGCUUGAAUCCAGGAGAGGUGAGUGGAAUUCCGAGUGUAGAGGUGAAAUGCGUAGAUAUCGGGAGGAACACCAGUGGCGCAAGCGGCUGCCUG